rnacentral:lncRNA from 1 species
GGGCACUGUGUUCAUGAAAAUCAAACCCGGGUUAGUUUUGAUUUGGCAGUGUACAAGUCAAAGGCUAGAAGUCUUCUAGUUUCUAAGCACAAAUUCGACUCAGUUAAUUCCUUGCACAGUUAAAGAUAGGCUGGUGACGGCCUUUGGCAAAGAUGGCGUUGUGGAAAUAUGAGUCAAGGUGGAGAUUCUUAAGUAUGACUCCUAUUUCAGUCAAAUUUGAGAAAUAAUCUUCCAAUUCAAC